AGCUGGGCACAAAUAACUCAGCAUCUCAGCCCUCUUUCUUACACAUCACAACGACAAGCAGCCUGGAUAGCGAAGAUGGCAACAACUAGCGUUGUCCUUUUUGCCUGAUGCAUGUGAAAAGUCUUCACUUGUAAGUUUGAUAAGCAACAAAUCCUUCAAAUAGAACAGGUUGCAAUUCUGCUCUGCCUGGAAAGUACACACGCAUGGCCUGUCUCUGACUGGAUGCAUGCCAGAUUGUCCUUUGGGAUAGAGCCCAGUGAGAAAGAGAAACGGGUUUGAACUUGGCAAAAUGGCAAUAAGCAUAAAGGAAGAAACUGGAGAGCUGCUUCAUCAGUGCCAAUCCAUACUGUGGUUGGUCUCAUGAAAAGGAUCAUAUUGAUGAAUUAGUGCAUCUACCCUCCCAGCCAUGGAAGAAUACCUCAUACAAAAAAAUCCAUAGGUGACUGAUAGGUGUGGUAAGCAGCCUGUGAAACUUGGGAGAAACAUUCUGGUACACCUGGAAAUCAACCUAGAUCUAAAUUACCUGCCAUUGUGGAUAUUUUAGACUUAAUUCAUGCUUUUCCACCACAAUUCAGAACACUUCCUUUAUCUGAACAGCUUUGCUUUCUUGUUUGUUUGUUUUUUAUGUUUGUCAGUCAUUACACAGUGCUAUUUAGAAUCAAUUUAGCACCCCUCCAUGUGUUAAGUGGUUGUGGUGAGUGAUGAUUGCAGGAUUAGCCUGCUAGUAAUUAAAUGUUGCUGCCUCUUAGCUUGAAAAUGAAACAUCUCUGUGGAAUUUAAGAGUUUUUUACAUUAUUUAGGUUGGCUGUUUCUAAAUAGUAUAGGUAGGUUUACCAAGUUAGUGCAGGCACAGUGCAAUCACAAAAAAAAAUUAAAAAAAAACAAAAAGAAGAAUGGGGAGGAGUAUAGAGAGAGGAAGAAGAGAAAAAUAAAUUGAGAGAAGGAAAACAAAUUCAACUGAUCAUUAAAACUUUGAAUUGCAUGGAAAAUUUUCCACACUGUGCUGAAUCUUGGGUAUAAUUUCCUAAUUUUGGCUUUGUACAAUCUAGAUAAAGUUUCCUAUCUGGACUCAUUUUUACUCACAGAUGGGUCUUCAAAAUUUGCAAGUGUUGUGUUUGUUGAAACCUAGAGGGGUACCUGUCUCAGUAAAGCAGAGGCUGGGUUCCUUACUGUUUGUGGACUUCAUGGAUGCUUGAUUUUCAUACUGGCUUUACCACUAUUAAGAGUUUGACCUCUUGAAUUCACUGAUUAAUGUUUUAAGCAGAAUGAAGGCCUUUAUAAUUUUUUCAAAAUCUGCUAGGAAAAAUCACAUCAUUUCACCAUUCAAAGACAGUUCUUUGCUUCUUCAAAAACGUAUUAGACUGAUCUGUCCUGGGCUCCUCAUAGGAAUGUAGCAGUGUAACCUCAUAUGAUACAAAUUAUGAGCUUCUGUUUGAAAUAAUAGGGAUGAUGUCUAAUCCUAAUUUCUUCUGAUGAACAGACAUCAGAAGGAUUUUAAAUAAAGGUUGUCAGUGAGAGGCCUGCAAGCUACCCUCACUUAGCUCUGUCUGGCCUGUGUUAGGGUGAAGAUGAAGGCAUUUGAAUGUCUUAAUCAAAGCAGAGCAAGAGCUUUUUACCUUGAGUUCUUGUUACAUUUAAGGAUUCAUGCUGAAUAACAACA